rnacentral:misc_RNA from 1 species
AAGCGGACACAACCCAAAUCUCAACAUUAAACCUUAACAAUCUUCCACACUCCCCAGAGAUAAGAGAAAAUAUUGACAUUUUGGAACAUGCGUAUUCGGUGCAAAAUUCUCGAUUUUGCACAGGAAAAAUACAGAACAAAUGUUUCACACCCUAAAAAAAAUGAAAAAGAAAAGAUUUCCCAACAUUCAAGAGGACCACUCUGUAAUAUGGAAGCACAACAGGUACAUAAACUUUCAUUCUAAGGG